rnacentral:tRNA from 1 species
GGGCGGAUAGCUCAGCCGGUCAGAGCACCUCGUUUACACCGAGGGGGUCGGGGGUUCGAGUCCCUCUCCGCCCACCA